rnacentral:rRNA from 1 species
AUUGAACGCUGGCGGCAGGCCUAACACAUGCAAGUCGAACGGUAACAGGAAGAAGCUUGCUUCUUUGCUGACGAGUGGCGGACGGGUGAGUAAUGUCUGGGAAACUGCCUGAUGGAGGGGGAUAACUACUGGAAACGGUAGCUAAUACCGCAUAACGUCGCAAGACCAAAGAGGGGGACCUUCGGGCCUCUUGCCAUCGGAUGUGCCCAGAUGGGAUUAGCUAGUAGGUGGGGUAACGGCUCACCUAGGCGACGAUCCCUAGCUGGUCUGAGAGGAUGACCAGCCACACUGGAACUGAGACACGGUCCAGCCUCCUACGGGAGGCAGCAGUGGGGAAUAUUGCACAAUGGGCGCAAGCCUGAUGCAGCCAUGCCGCGUGUAUGAAGAAGGCCUUCGGGUUGUAAAGUACUUUCAGCGGGGAGGAAGGGAGUAAAGUUAAUACCUUGACUCAUUGACGUUACCCGCAGAAGAAGCACCGGCUAACUCCGUG